UGGGGAAUUGUUCGCAAUGGGCGCAAGCCUGACGACGCAACGCCGCGUGGAGGAUGAAGACCUUCGGGUCGUAAACUCCUUUCGAUCGAGACGAAUGGCCUCCGGGUGAACAAUCCGGAGGAGUGACGGUACCGAGAGAAGAAGCCCCGGCUAACUCCGUGCCAGCAGCCGCGGUAAUACGUAGGGACCAAGCGUUGUUCGGAUUUACUGGGCGUAAAGGGCGCGUAGGCGGCAAUUCAAGUCAUCUGUGAAAUCUCCGGGCUUAACUCGGAACGGUCAGAUGAUACUGCUUUGCUAGAGUGCAGAAGGGGCAAUCGGAAUUCUUGGUGUAGCGGUGAAAUGCGUAGAUAUCAAGAGGAACACCUGAGGUGAAGACGGGUUGCUGGGCUGACACUGACGCUGAGGCGCGAAAGCCAGGGGAGCAAACGGGAUUAGAUACCCAAGUAGUCCCUGAGCGGGCUGGCAAGGCG
rnacentral:rRNA from 1 species